rnacentral:lncRNA from 10 species
GCCCCCACUUCUAGGCUUGGUUGAACCGUGCAGAUACCUUCUCGAAACAAAAGAUUUUCCUACCUGCUUAUACUUGGUAACCGAGGGAAUUUCUAAGACUUCUUGCUCAUUUCUGAGUAUUGUCUUUAUAUCCUGACACUAUGAAUGCUACUUGGAUGCCUCUUAAGGGUCUCUUCUGCAGGGUCCCCAUGAAUUGUGGCUGAAGUUGUGCACAAACAAGUAUCUCCAGUGACAGGAGUGCCUUCUGAGGCAGCCAUUGCAUCUUCAUCUGCUGACACUCUGCUAGGCUGACUUCUGUAGUUUUCACCACUGAUCUUCAGUCCACCUCACAGAGCUCUAUAAAACGCUUAAAUCCUCUUUACAUCAUAGACUUUCAGCUACUUGAAGAUAGCCAUCAGCCGCUACGUGACUCUUUUCUCCAGGUUGAAGAUUAUUCUCUCUUCUAAAGAAAAUAGAAGAAUAUUAGGAGAAAAGACACUUGAAAAUGUUCACUCUUUUAUUCACAUUACAUCAUCUGUCUUGAAUAAUGGGUCUAUCUCUUUCCUGUUGCUCUGGCCCUGAAAAAAAAAUUAGCUUUUUAAGGCUGCUUUUGUUACGUGUGCAUUUUCUUGUAAUCCCGUCAUUCUGGGAUUUAAUAAUAAUAGUAUUAAUACCACCUACCAUUUGUUGGUUACUUACUGUGUUUUAGGCACUGUGCUAAACGCCUUCCAUGU